rnacentral:rRNA from 1 species
GACGGAGGGUGCUAGCGUUGUUCGGAAUCACUGGGCGUAAAGGGCGCGUAGGCGGCGUCACAAGUCGGCUGUGAAAGCCCGGGGCUCAACCCCGGAGGUGCAGCCAAGACUGCGGUGCUGGAGGCCGGAAGAGGAGGGUGGAAUACCCAGUGUAGAGGUGAAAUUCGUAGAUAUUGGGUGGAACACCGGUGGCGAAAGCGGCUCUCUGGUCCGGACCUGACGCUGAGGCGCGAAAGCGUGGGGAGCAAACAGG